rnacentral:rRNA from 1 species
UUAAUGAGAGUUUGAUCCUGGCUCAGGACGAACGCUGGCGGCGUGCCUAAUACAUGCAAGUAGAACGCUGAGGUUUGGUGUUUACACUAGACUGAUGAGUUGCGAACGGGUGAGUAACGCGUAGGUAACCUGCCUCAUAGCGGGGGAUAACUAUUGGAAACGAUAGCUAAUACCGCAUAAGAGUAAUUAACACAUGUUAGUUAUUUAAAAGGAGCAAUUGCUUCACUGUGAGAUGGACCUGCGUUGUAUUAGCUAGUUGGUGAGGUAAAGGCUCACCAAGGCGACGAUACAUAGCCGACCUGAGAGGGUGAUCGGCCACACUGGGACUGAGACACGGCCCAGACUCCUACGGGAGGCAGCAGUAGGGAAUCUUCGGCAAUGGACGGAAGUCUGACCGAGCAACGCCGCGUGAGUGAAGAAGGUUUUCGGAUCGUAAAGCUCUGUUGUUAGAGAAGAACGUUGGUAGGAGUGGAAAAUCUACCAAGUGACGGUAACUAACCAGAAAGGGACGGCUAACUACGUGCCAGCAGCCGCGGUAAUACGUAGGUCCCGAGCGUUGUCCGGAUUUAUUGGGCGUAAAGCGAGCGCAGGCGGUUCUUUAAGUCUGAAGUUAAAGGCAGUGGCUUAACCAUUGUACGCUUUGGAAACU